GUCCUUGUAGCUUACCAAAAGCAUGGCACUGAAGAUGCCAAGACGGUCAACCACUUGCACCCAAGGACA
rnacentral:tRNA from 1 species